rnacentral:rRNA from 1 species
UACGUAGGGUCCGAGCGUUGUCCGGAAUUACUGGGCGUAAAGAGCUCGUAGGUGGUUUGUCGCGUUGUUCGUGAAAACUCACAGCUCAACUGUGGGCGUGCGGGCGAUACGGGCAGACUGGAGUACUGCAGGGGAGACUGGAAUUCCUGGUGUAGCGGCGGAAUGCGCAGAUAUCAGGAGGAACACCGGUGGCGAAGGCGGGUCUCUGGGCAGUUUUGCUGACACUGAGGCGCGACAGCGUGGGGAGCAAACAGG